GAUGAACGCUGGCGGCGUGCCUAAUACAUGCCAGUCGAGCGACCGGACAGUAAGCUUUUUCUCUUACGGUCGGCGGGGGACGGGCGGGUAACACGUGGAUAACCUUCUACUAUUACGGGGGUAAUUUCGGAAAACCGUAUCUACUACCGCAUAAUAUUUUCAACGGAUGGGUUCAAAGGAUAAACACGCCUUUCGCGUCACUAUUAGCGGAUUCCGCGCUGCAUUAGCUAGUUGGUAAGGUAACGGCUUACCAAGGAAACGAUGCAUAGCCGACCUGAGAGGGUGAUCGGCCACACUGGAACUGAGACACGGUCCAGACUCCUACGGGAGGCAGCAGUAGGGAAUCUUACGCAAUGGGCGAAAGCCUGACGGAGCAACGCCGCGUGAGUGAUGAAGGUCUUCGGAUCGUAAAACUCUGUUAUUAGGGAAGAACAUAUGUGUAAGUAACUGUGCACAUCUUGACGGUACCUAAUCAGAAAGCCACGGCUAACUACGUG
rnacentral:rRNA from 1 species